GCCGAAAUGGUGGAACUGGUAGACGCGCCGGACUCAAAAUCCGGUUCUAGCAAUAGAGUGUGGGUUCAAGUCCCACUUUCGGCACCA
rnacentral:tRNA from 1 species